rnacentral:rRNA from 1 species
GAUGAACGCUAGCGACAGGCUUAACACAUGCAAGUCGAGGGGCAGCAUAGAAGUAGCAAUACUUUGGUGGCGACCGGCGCACGGGUGAGUAACGCGUAUGCAACCUACCUAUCAGAGAGGAAUAACCCGGCGAAAGUCGGACUAAUACCGCAUAAAACAGGGGCACCGCAUGGUGAUAUUUGUUAAAGAAAUUCGCUGAUAGAUGGGCAUGCGUUCCAUUAGGUAGUUGGUGAGGUAACGGCUCACCAAGCCGACGAUGGAUAGGGGAACUGAGAGGUUGGUCCCCCACACUGGUACUGAGACACGGACCAGACUCCUACGGGAGGCAGCAGUGAGGAAUAUUGGUCAAUGGGCGGGAGCCUGAACCAGCCAAGUCGCGUGAAGGAAGAAGGAUCUAUGGUUCGUAAACUUCUUUUGCAGGGGAAUAAAGUGCGGGACGUGUCCUGUUUUGUAUGUACCCUGAGAAUAAGGAUCGGCUAACUCCGUGCCAGCCGCCGCCGUAAAAC